CCCGCAUGUGGGUCUAGUGGUUAGUAUUCCUGGCUCUCACACCCAGGGGCCCGGGUUCUAUUCCCGGCAUUGGGA